rnacentral:rRNA from 1 species
UACGUAGGGGGCAAGCGUUGUCCGGAUUUAUUGGGCGUAAAGAGCGUGUAGGCGGCCAGACAGGUCAGCUGUGAAAACUCGAGGCUCAACCUCGAGACGUCGGUUGAAACCGUCUGGCUAGAGUCCGGAAGAGGAGAGUGGAAUUCCCGGUGUAGCGGUGAAAUGCGCAGAUAUCGGGAAGAACGCCAAGGGCGAAGGCACUCUGCUAGGCCUGAUUUCGCGACUGACACUCAGGGACGAGAGCCAGGGGAGCGAAUGGG